UCUUCUUCCUCUGGUACUUGUAAUUAAUAGUUUGCCCUCCUGCCUCUAAUCAACUUGAAAAAUUAGCGGACAUAAAAUCCUUCAAAAAAUCGAAAAAUUUCAAUUUGCUAAAAUGGAUUUCAAAUUAUUCACAGUUCUCCAAUUGCUCUGCCUUGCGACAUCAUGUUUUGCGCAGCUGGCGCCAUGUCCAACCUGCAACGAAGAGGCGUGCUGUUCCGCCCAGUGUCCGAACAGUUUCUUUUGCUCAGUUACAAGUGGACAGGCUCCGGAGUGUUUUGACUCUGUCACUGGCAUGUUUUGGACAUCGCGAAUAUGCAAACGACCAAACUGCGAGUCUUGCACAUCCGCGCAAAUUUCAUGUGCCGGCGUGACUCGGAUUUGCCGAAGCACAGCGACGCAUGGCGUGUGUUCAUUCAACUAUUGAGGAAAUUGUUGGACUUGAUUUUUGAAAAGUACUAUUUUUAAAAAAGUUGCAAUUUUUCGAAAUUGCAAUUGCGAAUGUCUGAAUUUGAAAUUAAAAUGAAUCUUACCACAUCUCUGCAAAAUAUGAUAUUGUAUUAGAAUUAUUAAAUUGUAUGUAUAUUAGAUAAGAAGUGUGAUGAGCAGUUAGUAUAAUUUGAUUCUUGAAAAGUAUGAUGCAAAGUGUCCACUUUUAAUUCGACUUAAAAAACAUCCAGAUACGAUUUAAAGUGACAUAUGUAUUAUGGUUUUUUAGUCAACAUAAGCUUGUCUAAAAGUUUAACAAUAAAAUGUUUUUGAAUUCGCAUAUGUA